rnacentral:rRNA from 1 species
GAUGAACGCUGGCGGCGUGCCUAAUACAUGCAAGUCGAGCGAACAGACGAGGAGCUUGCUCCUCUGACGUUAGCGGCGGACGGGUGAGUAACACGUGGAUAACCUACCUAUAAGACUGGGAUAACUUCGGGAAACCGGAGCUAAUACCGGAUAAUAUAUUGAACCGCAUGGUUCAAUAGUGAAAGACGGUUUUGCUGUAACUUAUAGAUGGAUCCGCGCCGCAUUAGCUAGUUGGUAAGGUAACGGCUUACCAAGGCAACGAUGCGUAGCCGACCUGAGAGGGUGAUCGGCCACACUGGAACUGAGACACGGUCCAAACUCCUACGGGAGGAAGCAGUAGGGAAUCUUCCGCAAUGGGCGAAAGCCUGACGGAGCAACGCCGCGUGAGUGAUGAAGGUCUUCGGAUCGUAAAACUCUGUUAUUAGGGAAGAACAAAGGUGUAAGUAACUAUGCACGUCUUGACGGUACCUAAUCAGAAAGCCACGGCUAACUACGUG